AGUAAAACCCUAAAUGAGUUUUUGGUUGCAGCCGUUCAACUAAUCCUCUCAUGUGUUCUUUGUUUGCCUGCUACUACACGUUACCACCCAUAAAACAAAACUCAGAGAAUUCAUCAUUUCCCCUCACUCUCAAUAAUACACUCAAUGCCUUACACAACCACAACCAUCCGACACCUCCCUUUCACCCUCUCGGUUCGAUAACGCGCCGCCGGAAAGAAGAGACGCCGCCGGAUAACUCGCAACCAAACCUUCGGAAUCAAAUCCGGUUCGCGUCGACAACUCUGGAUAAACCUGCAAGUCUUCGCGUCGGAGCUUUUUUCGAUGGAACUUGUAAACCAGCGUUUCGUUGGUGGUAAUCGCUUUGGUUUUAUUAACUCGAAGACGACACCGAAAUCCUCAUCCAGAAAUCCAUUCCGAGUAACCCUCAUCCUCGUCGAAACACUUGCCGAAGCAAACAAAAUUUCACCGGAGAAAUCGCCGGAAAUCGGAGACGUCACUGGAGCUCGUCGGGUUACGCCAGAACUUGCCUCAUCUCGGUUUUCGCUAUACCUUUCCAUCUCCUCUUGUCUCGUUUUGUAAUCUGUUAUAACCCAAGAAAAGGAUACAAUCAAUUUGACGUUAAUAAUCAACUCCUCCUGUUUGAUUCGCGCCAAAGCUCAUCGGAGACCCGAAGACGCGCCACGUCGGAGGUUCACGACAGAACCAUAUAACGUCGAGUUUCGGAUAACUCUCAUUGUUCCAAGUCUCCAAAUCUUAUUCGUGCGUUAUCUUACAAGGAAUUCUUAUACGCAAUCAAUGUGGAUGUCGACGAUGCAUGGAAUUUAGUAGGAUGCUUAGAUACACACUUAAAAAGAAUUGUAUUCAUAUUGUAUUAUUUUAUUAUUCAGGUUGUUGUAUUUGUUUCAAAAGCUUUGUAAUUGAUCCUUUAGAAAUGGAAUGAAAUGAUUAUUUAAAUACUUGUCACAA